rnacentral:rRNA from 1 species
AGUGAACGCUGGCGGCAGGCCUAAUACAUGCAAGUCGAACGGCAGCACAGUGGAGCUUGCUCCAUGGGUGGCGAGUGGCGGACGGGUGAGGAAUACAUGGGAAUCUGCCCAGUCGUGGGGGAUAACGUAGGGAAACUUACGCUAAUACCGCAUGCGCCCUUCGGGGGAAAGCCGGGGACCUUCGGGCCUGGCGCGAUUGGAUGAGCCCAUGUUCGAUUAGCUAGUUGGCGGGGUAAAGGCCCACCAAGGCGACGAUCGAUAGCUGGUCUGAGAGGAUGAUCAGCCACACUGGGACUGAGACACGGCCCAGACUCCUACGGGAGGUAGCAGUAGGGAAUAUUGGACAAAGAGCGCAAGCCUGAUCCAGCCAUGCCGCGUGAGUGAAGAAGGCCCUCGGGUUGUAAAGCUCUUUUGUCCGGGAAGAAAAGCAUCGGGCUAAUACCUCGGUGUUCUGACGGUACCGGAAGAAUAAGCACCGGCUAACUUCGUG